rnacentral:rRNA from 1 species
UACGUAGGGUGCAAGCGUUGUCCGGAAUUAUUGGGCGUAAAGAGCUCGUAGGUGGUUUGUCGCGUCUGCUGUGAAAAACUCGGGGCUUAACCCCGGGCCUGCAGUGGGUACGGGCAGACUAGAGUGCGGUAGGGGGAGACUGGAAUUCCUGGUGUAGCGGUGAAAUGCGCAGAUAUCAGGAGGAACACCAAUGGCGAAGGCAGCACUCUGGGGACGUGACUGACGCUGAGACGCGAAAAGCGUGGGGGAGCAAACAGG